rnacentral:misc_RNA from 1 species
UUGAAUCCCAUUAUAGUUGGUUUUUUUUCUCUCUCAGUCUUAGGAGAGCGUCCCUUUGGCAGGGAGAGCAAUUGUCAGGCCGUGAUAUUGGGAUUCCACCCUUCCACUAUUGUAUAUCCUUUUUGGUCAGAUGUUUUUGCAAAUCAAGAGCUGAAAAGGGCAGGUGUUUCAUCUUUGGUUGAUCUAUCAUAUGGUUUAAAGCGGUCGGUUCUGUUCCUUGGGUUUCUUUGAUUCUUGGCUCGACAGGAAGGCUUCCUUGCUUUUGGUGGUGGCAACUCUAGGUCUUUAUGUCGGCUUUGGCUUCCAGUGCCAGAACAUCCAGUUAGAUGAGAUUGAGAAGUUAUGGAGCUUUACCGCCCCCCUUCCUCGUUGGCCUGAGUCAACCUGUUGAGUUUCCUCUUCCAUGGCUGUUGUUUUUAUAGUGUUUUUUAGGUUUCUUAUUUGGAUUCAUUUUGGUGGUUAGCACGGAGUUCCUAGUUUUGCCAAGGAUGGGUGGUUUCCACCUGCAUGCUUUCCAUUGAGUUGUUGCCAAUACAAGGGAAGACGUCGGCGGCGGCGGUGGAGGAGCUGGCUCUUUGGGUCAAGUUGUUACCCAAUAUCGUGUAGGGUUGUUUGUUUGGUUUUUGGCCUGUUUGAUUAGGGCUGGAUCUAUAAACUUGCAAGGACACAUUUUCUUUCGAGUCCUGGAAUGCAACUUUAUCUUGUGUACUUCCCAAUGGGACUCGUAAUACAAAAG